rnacentral:lncRNA from 1 species
CAUGGCACCGCUUGGCAAGCCAUGUUGUGGUAGGCGUCCCACAUAUAAACUAGAGGAAGAGGGGCAUGGGUGUUAGCUCAGGGCCAGUCUUCCUCCCCAAAAAGAGGAGGGUUGGCAGCAGAUAUUAGCUCAGGGCUAAUCUUCCUCAAAAAAAAAAACAAAAAAAAAAGAAAGAAAAAAGCAGUUUUCCUUGAUGCAAACCUCAUGCUCUUGAUUGCUACAUUGGACUUAUUUUUAGCACUUGGUGGAGGUGCUAAAGGGUUGUGGGUUGUGGCUUCUCCUGCCAGCUCUGCUAGAGGGCAGGUGGUUGGGAGAGAUAUGGAACCUCCCAGUUGGAAUGACUGAUGGUCUUGGUCUCAUUGGCUCUGUUCACAGUCUGCCCCUGAGCCAGAACACCAGCCUUACUGGGUGGCACAUUGGGACAGCUCUCCACAACUGUUUCCCAAUGACGCCUUGGACAAUGUCACUGUCACCACCAGCAGGAACCGCCCCCUCCUUCCUAUUUCAUCACUCUCAAGCCAAGGUUCCCUCUCCCUCAGGGUGUCCGCUAGGAUCUAGCUACGGGGUGGGGGUCUGAUACAAACCAGAAGGCAAAUGGUGAGAGUCCACAUGCUUCCUGUAUUAGUCAUGAGUCCUCUGGUUGUAAGUAACAGAAUUACCGCUGGGACCAGCUUAAGAAGAAAGGAGGUGAGGGGAAGUUUAUUGGUUCAUGUGACCAGAGCAGAAAAUCUUCUUCUUGGGGAUGGACCCUGUUUCUCUGCUCAGUCCCGUGCCAAUCCUUGGAUGAAUCAGAUGGAUGGGGACACUGAUGGGCUCAGUCCUAGUCACAAGCCCCCUUCUCUGGCAGGAGGAAGGGCUGCUGGAACCACGGGAUCAAAAUCGGGGUGGAAGAGGCCCACAAAAAAGGGGAUUGUUGUUCUUGCAGACGAUUCGGGUGCUGGUUGACAUGCUCGGGCUCCUAGGCAUUCCAGAGAUUUAUGGAAAAUCCAGAGGAAGGAGGAGGCUAGAGGAUCCUCGAGAUCGGGAACGCUCCUCUACUGGUCUGCAUACUGGAGAGCCCUGGAGUUUUCCAUCUAGACCUGGUCCUGGAAUGCAGGCUUAUUGGCAGGUGCUGGGUAACGGGAAGCCUGCUAAGAGCAGCCGUGUUAACAGUACCCCUCUCGCGAAAGGAUGCUCUAAGAAGGGUGAGAGGAUAGACGGAGAAGAAGAUGAAGAAGAAGAAAAAGGGGGAAAAAACAACAACUUGCACACACAUACACAUCCCUGUGGGCUGCUGCUGCUGCUGCUGCCACGGUGGCUGCUUGGAUGCGUCUAAGAUGGCACCUUGGUGCCCUGCCACAUUCGGUCUCCUUGGUACCGAAGCGGCGCUCAGCUUCUUGUCACUGAGUGGAUGAUGAUUAUCUGUACCAGGGUCUCAAGGGUGCUCAAGCUUUGCUGGCGAUUGGAGCUGAGAUGCUUCAGCUGAAGGAUUUUAAAAGCCGUACAAGGCCAAAGAACCAUUACCAGUCACUUGCUGUGUGAUGCCUGUUGAAGAGGGGGUGGGUGUGGGAAGGAGCGCGCUGGGGGAGCCAGGGAGGGCUAUGAUAUCUUUAUCCCCUCCCCUGUUCUCUGUCUCUCCCCCUCUCCUCCCACCUCUCCACCUCCCCACGCCUUUUUAGCCACUGUACCCUUGCUGAGGCAUGACAAGGUUAUGUCAGUGUGGUCUGAGAAUCUAUUGAUCACGGCCAUCAAAGAUCUUUGUGGCAGUUUAGGGAUUUGGUGCUUUGCAUAACACCCCACUCAUCUGGGUUAACUCCUCCUGUCCCGGCCUGGGCUCCCAUCACCUCAGAGCUGAGCUGUUGGCAAAACUUGCUAAUUUCUCUGACAGCUGCUUUCCAAACUAUACUCAUAAGGCUGUCAAAACCUUUGUAAUUACUGUUACAAGAGAACUCAGGUGCAUGACCCAGGCAGCGAAGAAGCGGGGGGGAUUGGACCAGACACAGCAAGGAAAAAACCCAAAUAUAGAUACUAACCCCCAACACACAUGCACACACGUGUGCAUGUGCACAGAUGCUUGUAUGUGCUUUCCUUGUCUUCCCCUCGAAGGGCCACAGCAGAAAGGCCCUAUAAGCAAAAAAGAUCUUGUCGGUCUCCUACCCAGGUGAUUUUUCUUUUAAUCAGUGAAAAAUAAAAGAAAUGCCAGAAACCA